rnacentral:misc_RNA from 1 species
GCCACGGGCACGGCCACGGUCACGGGCACGGGCACGGGCAUGGUGGCAUGAGGGUGGAGUCCCACACCGACGACUACUACAGCGAGGGCGGCGAGAUCGACCGUGGGAGGAGGAACAACUCCAUGCACUCGCAGGAGUACCUGAUGAGGCAGCAGAGCGGCCAUGGCGGCUACGGCUACGGCGGCGGCCAGCAGCAGGAGUACUACAAGCGGGAGGAGCGCGAGCACAAGCAGCGCGAGCGCGUCGGCGAGAUCGGCGCCCUCGCCAGCGGCGCCUUCGCUCUCUAUGAGGGGCACCAGGCGAAGAAGGACCCGGCGAACGCGCAGAGGCACAGGAUCGAGCAGGGCGUGGCGGCGGUGGCGGCGGUGGGCGCCGGCGGCUACGCCUA